UUCAGCAGCACAUAUGCUAAAAAAAGAGAAAAAUUGGAACAGUACAGAGAAGAUUAACAUGGCCCUGAGCAAGAAUGGCAUGCAAAUUCAUGAAGUGCAAUAUAUAUAU